UGGGAACGUACCCUUUGGUUCGGAACAACCCAGGGAAACUUGGGCUAAUACCGGAUACGUCCGUAAGGAGAAAGAUUUAUCGCCAAAGGAUCGGCCCGCGUCUGAUUAGCUAGUUGGUGGGGUAAUGGCCCACCAAGGCUACGAUCGGUAGCUGGUCUGAGAGGAUGACCAGCCACACUGGGACUGAGACACGGCCCAGACUCCUACGGGAGGCAG
rnacentral:rRNA from 1 species